AACGAACGCUGGCGGCAUGCCUAACACAUGCAAGUCGAACGAGACCUUCGGGUCUAGUGGCGCACGGGUGCGUAACGCGUGGGAACCUGCCCUUAGGUUCGGAAUAACUCCCCGAAAGGGGUGCUAAUACCGGAUAAUGUCUUCGGACCAAAGAUUUAUCGCCUUUGGAUGGGCCCGCGUUGGAUUAGCUAGUUGGUAGGGUAAAAGCCUACCAAGGCGACGAUCCAUAGCUGGUCUGAGAGGAUGAUCAGCCACACUGGGACUGAGACACGGCCCAGACUCCUACGGGAAGCAGCAGUGGGUAAUAUUGGACAAUGGGCGAAAGCCUGAUCCAGCAAUGCCGCGUGAGUGAUGAAGGCCUUAGGGUUGUAAAGCUCUUUUACCCGGGAUGAUAAUGACAGUACCGGGAGAAUAAGCUCCGGCUAACUCCGUG
rnacentral:rRNA from 1 species